GUAGAGUCCCUUCCCAUGCAAAGGGCAUAGCAAAAUUAACAAAAAAAAAAAACUAAAAACCAAAGGCAAAGGGAGAAUUAGUUAAACCAUAUUAACACAAUGGCAGAGAAUAAGCAACCAGUGGCUAUAAUUGGGGCUGGAAUUAGUGGCCUAAUUGCUUGCAAAUUUGUAGCUCAAAAGGGGUUACACCCUGUAGUUUACGAGGCCGAAGACGGUAUCGGUGGGGUAUGGGCUCGAACCAUCAAUUCAACCAAACUCCAAAAUCACAAAAGUACUUACGAAUUUUGUGACUUUCCUUGGCCUUCUUUUGUUCAAUCUUACUAUCCUUCUCAUCAAGAAGUGCUCGACUAUCUCCAUUCUUAUGCCAUUCAUUUUGAUCUCCUUCACUUUAUCAACUUCAAUUCUCGUGUUUUUAGCAUCGAUUAUGAUAUCGAUGGAGGUGAAACGACGAAUUACUCGUAUGAGCUUUGGGGAGGAAACGGCCUCACCUUUGCUAAGGAACCUAGAUGGAUCCUUGAAGUUCAAAACACUAAAAAUAAUACUGUUCAGGUUCAUCGAGCUGGGUUUGUGAUAUUGUGCAUGGGGAAAUACAGUGGGAUGCCAUACAUACUAGAGUUCCCACCAAAUGAAGGCUCAGAAGUGUUUCAUGGGAAAGUGCUUAUUCAAUGGAUUACGCUACCGUCACCAAAAACAACAUGGGAGUUAACUCAGUCAACCAAUUAGUUAAGGGCAAACGGAUUGCAGUCGUUGGAUCUCUCAAAUCAGCCAUGGACAUAGCCAUGGAAUGUGCUGAAGCUAAUGAAAAUAUUACUAAUGGAAGUGAGAGGUUGCAGGACCGGAAAAACCAUGCACGUUGGUUGUAAGAAAUCCACAUUAGCUGACUCCUUCUGACCAAGCAUGGGGUGUCGAUAUAGGUCUUUUGUAUAAUAGUCGAUUCUCUGAACUAUUGGUCCACAAACCUGGUGAGAACUUCUUAUUCAGCAUCAUCGCCACCUUACUUACCCCAAUGACAGGUGAUUCAAACAAGGGAUUCCAUUGACUUUGCUGUGAUCGGGUAUUGCGGAGGGGAU